GAUGAACGCUGGCGGCGUGCCUAAUACAUGCAAGUCGAGCGAACGGACGAGAAGCUUGCUUCUCUGAUGUUAGCGGCGGACGGGUGAGUAACACGUGGAUAACCUACCUAUAAGACUGGGAUAACUUCGGGAAACCGGAGCUAAUACCGGAUAAUAUUUUGAACCGCAUGGUUCAAAAGUGAAAGACGGUCUUGCUGUCACUUAUAGAUGGAUCCGCGCUGCAUUAGCUAGUUGGUAAGGUAACGGCUUACCAAGGCAACGAUGCAUAGCCGACCUGAGAGGGGGGUCGGCCACACGGGAACUGAGACACGGUCCAGACUCCUACGGGAGGCAGCAGUAGGGAAUCUUCCGCAAUGGGCGAAAGCCUGACGGAGCAACGCCGCGUGAGUGAUGAAGGUCUUCGGAGCGUAAAACUCUGUUAUUAGGGAAGAACAUAUGUGUAAGUAACUGUGCACAUCUUGACGGUACCUAAUCAGAAAGCCACGGCUAACUACGUG
rnacentral:rRNA from 1 species